AAGUCGUAACAAGGUUUCCGUAGGUGAACCUGCGGAAGGAUCAUUAAAAAAUAACUUGUUGGGCACGGCCCACCUCCACCUGUAAGGGUGGGGGUGGCUGGCCUGAUGAUCCAUAUCCUAUGUGCACCUUUUCUUAUGCUGGUGUGAGUCCCUUGCUCGGGUACUUCCCUCAUUCCAAACAAGGCCAUAGGCCUUGGGGGCGAAGAGAUGCCGGGUGGGCGGCCAGCGGGUUGGUCUGAGGGGAGGCGUUUUCCUCCCAUCUGGGAGGAAUCGCUUCAGUUUCACCCUCACUCCAUACCUGUCGUCUGAUUCCACUGGAGUUUAUCAUAUACAGUCUUAUUUUCUAUCUGGAUGCUCUUGGGCAUCCGGUGAAAAAUGUCACAUACAACUUUUGGCAACGGAUCUCUAGGCUCU
rnacentral:misc_RNA from 1 species